CGGUAAAUAGCUCAAUCGGAGGAGCGCCGCCUUGAUAAGGCUGAGGCUGUAGGUUCAAGCCCUAUUUUACCGA
rnacentral:tRNA from 1 species